CUUCAGUCCACCUCAAUACGCCAGCCUGAACGGACUCAAUCAAAUAUAUUUCAUUUCCUAUUAACGUUCGGGAUAAGUUUUGACAUCCUUUAUUAUAUUUUUUAAAUUCAUUCACAUCUUUAAUGUUUUAACGAUUUUACACAAAUAAUUUUUACAACUUCUUGUACCUACUCAUACCCAUCAGUUUAUAAAUUUAUACACGGAAAAGUUUUUGGUGUUUUUCAACAAUAUUUUCAUAUUUCAUUGGAGACAAUCUCAUAAAUGAUUUUACAAAGACUCAAUGUAUUCCUGAAAACCCUCAACUUGAUGCUCCUCGUUUGACGUCGUGCCUGAUGAGGAACGCCAGGCGUUCGAAAUUGUCAAUAGCACCGAAUUUACAUUAAUAAAUUUAAUUAUUCAUCGUU